rnacentral:precursor_RNA from 15 species
GUCAUGAAUUCAGGCUGGAGGUGACCAGAUCCGUGGUAUGGUUAGAAAGCUGCCUUGAUCAUAAUGGCAGCUUGCUGCCAUCCAUGUAUCUGUCAUAGUCCCAUGAUCACUGACUGCCA